rnacentral:lncRNA from 1 species
UCUGACGGAAAUUGGAGUGGAGAUAGCAAAAAUAAAUGGUGGUCGGAAACUGAGCAAGUUUGGAACGGUAAUCUGGACGGAUAUGGAGAAGAGGGAACCGGAGAAGAGGGAACCGGGGAAAUGAAAGAAAACUGCGAUAAUUGAAGAGGGAACCGAGGAAAUGAAGGAAUGAAGGACUUCUUGGGGGGGUUAGUGGAAAAUUGAUAAACAGAAUCAGUGUUUUGUACCAGAGAUGAAGGGAGGAACGAAAAAGGGGAUAGAGAGGAGUUUCCGGAAAAUGUCUUACGGAAAUUAGAAGCGUAAGACAUUUUCCCCAAAUUGUAAGC